GCAACCGCUGGGCGAAGGUGUUCGUGCUGGACUUCCCUCCACGCUUGAACAUCGAGCCUGGCCUGCAGGAGCUGUUCCGCCAGGAGUUCCGCCGUGUCGCAGCACGCAUGGGUCUCCCAUACGUGUCUGUGGCAGAGCACCUCCCGAUGGAUCGUUUGGAGCUGUGGAGCCGUGACGGUGUAAGUACAGCAUACUUUGUUGUUGUGACAUGACACAUGGAGGAGUUGAAGGUUUCCAUUUUUGAUACACAAGUUGAGCGCAAUGUGUUCUGCGUUUCACUGUUUUCCAGGUGCACCUCAGCGACAGCGACGGGACGCC